ensembl:miRNA
GCGGGAGGCGUAACAGGACUGGACUCCCGGCAGCCCCAGGGCAGGGGCGUGGGGAGCUGGUCCUAGCUCAGCGCUCCCGGA